rnacentral:tRNA from 3 species
GCGGACGUGGUGGAAUUGGUAGACACACUGGAUUUAGGUUCCAGCGCCGCAAGGCGUAAGAGUUCGAGUCUCUUCGUCCGCACCA